rnacentral:rRNA from 1 species
CCUACGGGUGGCAGCAGUGAGGAAUAUUGGUCAAUGGGCGCGAGCCUGAACCAGCCAAGUCGCGUGAGGGAGGACGGCCCUACGGGUUGUAAACCUCUUUUGCCGGGGAGCAACGGGCGCCACGUGUGGCGUCACUGAGAGUACCCGGAGAAAAAGCAUGGGCUAACUCCGUGCCAGCAGCCGCGGUAAUACGGAGGAUGCGAGCGUUAUCGGGAUUUAUUGGGUUUAAAGGGUGCGAAGGGGGAUAGUUAAGUCAGUGGUAAAAUUGAGGGGCUAAACCCGGUCGUGCAAUUGAAACUGGCGUUCUUGAGUGGAAGAGAGGUAUGCGGAAUGCGUGGUGUAGCGGUGAAAUGCGUAGAGAUCACGCAGAACCCCGAUUGCGAAGGCAGCAUGCCGGCUUCCGACUGACGCUGAAGCGCGAAAGCGUGGGGAUCGAACAGGAUUAGAUACCCCAGUAGUC